CUCUGGCAGUCACAGGAAGGCUGGCUGGUCCCAGAAAUCACAGCCCAAGGUGCCCCAGCUCUGCCGGUCACUGGUGGGCCGGCCAGGCACCAGGAGUUCAACCCGGAGAGCACCGGCUCUGGCAGUCACAGACAGGCUGGGUGGUCUUGGGGAGCACAACCCAGGGUGCCAGCUCUGGCAGUCACAGGUGGCUGCCCUGCUCAGCAGGUGCUCCAGAACCUGCCUGGCAUUAGAACCCAGAGGGCUGGCCUCCACAAAGCAGCUCUCUCAUAAUGGCUGCCUCCUCUGCAGCUGAAGACAAGAGCUGCCCUCCACCUGGUGGCUCAUUCCCAGCCCCAGGGCACUGUUUAAGAUCUCUUGCUUGCCCAAGGUGAUUUCCACCAAGUGCCCGGAUUUAUCCUCCCAAAAAGAAAAA